GGAUAUGGACGAUCAGAACGCUGCACAAAUGAUUUUGGUUGGUAUCCCACUUGACGAACCACACUUGAAGGAUCAUUUGUCUAUUCUUUCAAACACAGAGAAGAAUGAUCUCAGAGCAGGAAAGCUUCCUGUGAGUGAAUCAUACUACCUCAUGGGUACUGUUGAUCCCACCGGAGAGUUGAAGGAAGAUGAAGUCUGUGUCAUCCUGUAUGAUUGCUAAUCACUUUUGAGUCUUUACAUGAUAAAGAAUAGAUGAAGUCUUGUUCAUUUCUGCACUACUUUCUUUGUUGUGGGUUUGUGUAGUGAGUCUGGCCAAAUCUCAGGAAAUGUUCUAGUUUACAGGAAUCCUGGACUACAUUUUGGGGACAUACAUGUACUUAAGGCUACUUAUGUUAAGGCCUUGGAGGGGUAUGUAGGAAACUCCAAGUAUGGUGUCUUCUUUCCUCAGAAAGGUCCAAGAUCUUUGGGAGAUGAGAUUGCAGGUGGUGAUUUUGAUGGUGAUUUGUAUUUCAUCUCCAGAAAUCCAGAGGUAAAUAACACCUUCGUUAGAAAGUAAGGAUAUGAUUUGCUGUAACCUGACUCUCUUUGGUUUGCUAUCUGUUGUAGCUACUUGAACACUUCAAACCAAGUGAGCCGUGGGUGAGUUUGACUCCUCCUACUAAAGGCAACUCUGCUAGAAAGCCAAGCCAUCUUUCACCAGCGGAGCUGGAGGAAGAGCUUUUCGAUAUGUUCUUGAAGGCAAGAUUUAAUGCUAGGUACUCUUAACUUAAGCUCUAGAUUCACAACUGUGUUUUGGAUCAAUCUUUGGGAUUUAUGUUUCUUUUCUCUUGGGUUUACAGCAAUGUUGUAGGGAUGGCUGCUGAUAGCUGGUUAACAAUAAUGGACCGCUUCCUCGUGCUAGGAGAUGAGAACGCUGAGGAAAAAGCUGAAAUGAAGAAGAAAAUGUUAAAGUUGAUUGAUAUAUACUAUGAUGCUCUUGAUGCACCAAAGAAAGGUGCUAAGAUCUUUCUCCCAGACGAGCUGAGGCCUGACAUUUUGUUUAUCUUCAGUCGUAGUCAUCAGUCAAACUUUACGAUAAAAACCGCGGGAAGUUCAUUUUUAUCAAAGAAACCGUAAUAAACGUUUUGAGUCAAAGAACAGUCCAAAGAGAUCUCAAACGCAGCUCGAAGCCCACUUACGAUUUCUUAACUGAAAACCCGUAAGUCUUACGAUGGUUUAUGCUUGGUUCAUAAGGCAAGAUAAAUGUCAAGUUUUCGUGGAUAAAUGUAAAGUUUCCGAAGAUAAUCACGAAGAUCGAAAAAAAUGGAAUAUCUCCAUUUUUGAGCUAUGACGGCUUAAGGGUAGAAAGGAAAAGGCGCAAACUGACAUAAGAGCAAGUAUAUAAGGAGUCCUAGGCGAGAGACAGAAGCAGAGGCAAUACACAGCAAACUUAGCACUUAGAGCAAUUUAGGCAAUUUUCCGUUUUUGUUAUUCGAGCUGCGACUCAAUUAGGUUUAGCAGCCUUAGGGUUUUAGAACUAGGAAUCUCGCCGACAGCUCUCGUAGUCCAGUCUCUUACCUUGUUGUAACGCUCAAACGCGAAUUCGAAAUAAGAUCACAUUUGCUCUCUUUUCGAUUUCUUAUCUUUUAUCGUUUUUAUUUCGUGUUCUGAUUGCUUGGCGUGUGGCAUUAGCAGAUAUCCGGGACCUCUGGGAAAUUAGGGUUCUCCUACUUUCCUUAUUUAAACAGAAAUCGACAGUGUGAAUUUCGGUUCCCACAAUUAACACUUUUGAUCAAACGUGAGAAGAUCUAACAAGCAGCUCAUCUGAAGUUAUAUUAAUGAUUUAUUUGAUCAAACGUGAGAAGAUCUAACAAGCAGCUCAUCUGAAGUUAUAUUAAUGAUUUAUUUGAUCUAAAAAUUUGUCAAAAGUGUUGGAAGAAGCAGUUGUUCCAAGGACAUACAUUCAUAAAACAAUUGUUAGAUCUUCUCACGUUGUGUGUGUCCUGGGAACAACUGAACACUUUUGACAAAUUCUUCAUCCAGCAUAACAUUUUUGUGAAACACAUUAAUAAGUUACAACAUAAAUAUGAACACAACAAACCCAAAAAUCAAGCAAAUAACUUUUGAGAGUACAAUACAUAUAACUCUGCUGCUUUGUGUGGCUAACCAUACACCACUCUUCAUAUUAUGAGAUGUCGCGCAACCGGAAGUCCUGAAAAGCGUAACUUUAAAUAAGCAUUUAUCAUUUAGAGGCUGAGAUAGACACAUCAAAAAAAAGGAAAAUGAUAAUUUUUAAUGAGGUGGGUAGUCCCUUGAUGAUUUCCUGUCAACUACAUACACACACACACUUCUGUUAAGAAAGGGAACACUUGAGAAGAAUCAAAAAAUCAAAAAAUCAAAAAAUGCAAAUGGACCUGUGUUGUUCCGUGAGGUAAACAGCAGAAUACAGCAUCCACUGUAGAAAAGCCUGCAUCCUCUACGGAGAUCAGCCUAGGUAGUAGUUUCGGAGGGCAGGAAGAAAGGUUUUAAUCAUUGAUCACUUAUAUAUACAGAAAAUGAUUUAUAACACUAAAAAAGUUUUUGUCACAAAUAUACUCUCUAAAAAUAAAAAUGACCAAAAUAGCACUUAAUGUUUUAUCAAAAGAGAUAAAUAUACACCUAUACUCCAAUGGUAAAUUAAUUUAGACAUUAGGGUUUAGAGUUAAGAGGUAAAGUUUAUGAUUUAGGAUUUAGGGUUUAGGGUUUAGGGUUUAGGGUUUAGAGUUUAUGGUUUAGGGUUUAGAGUUUAGGGGUGGGGUUUAGGGUUUAGGGUUUAGAAUUAAGGGAUGUGAUUUAGGAUUUAGGGUUUAGGAUUUAGGAUUUAGGGUUUAGGGUUUAGGGUUUAGGGUUUAGGGUUUAGGGUUGGGGAGUGGGGUUUUGGGAUAAGAUUUCAAAUUUUGAAAAUUAAAAAAAAAUUAAAUUUUUCAAAAGAUAAAAUGUUAUUUUGCUCAUUUUAGUUUUUGAGAACUAUUUUUGUGACAUAAACUUAUAAAAGUGCUAUUUUGGAGAUUUGCCCCUUAUAUAUAUGCCAUCACUGAGCCGUAGAUACAUAGCUCUUGAAAUUUUUGUUAGAGAUGGAAAUCACUGAUACUUGAGCUCUUAGGUGAGGUGAGGGAAGACGCUUUCCAUUGACUGGCCAGCUUUUCUAUCAGCAGUCAUGAGAGUGACACCGAAAUGCGGAUGAUUUGCAAGAAGCCAUAGGAUCUGCUGCCAUUCAAUUGAAAAGGGGAUUCCAAGUCAUUAUUUGUUAAAAUUUGGUAAUGCAUUUGGAAUCAAAACUAAGAUACCUCAUUUAUUCUUUUUAAUGUGAUGCCAAAAAACCUUAAAACCGAUGACGUUGAAGGUAUUCUUUUUUUUCAAUGAGCAAAUAAGGGAUUCAAAGUCAUUUGUUAAAAUGUGCUAAUGCAUUUGGAAUCAAAACUAACAUUCUUUUUAAUGUAAUGUUAAAGAACCUUUAAACCCAAUAACUAUAAGGUAUUUCAUUUCCUAUAUUCAUGAGACAAUUUACCGCAAGUACCACCACCCUUUUGCCGGACGAAGUUUGCUAAACUUUUCACAUGUUCAAUACUUAAAGCUAAAUCAGAAGGGCCAAUGCCUAAAAAGCUACAGACUUGCAACAAUGAUGCAUACCAAUAAUGUUCUGAUUCGUUUUAAAAAACCAACGAGAUCACUUGAAAAAAGCUAAAUUCCGAAUGAACUUGUAAAAAUGUAAACUGCACAUUUUGUAUGAUGAUCAGAUUGCAGGAAAAAAAAACUUGAAAUAAGUAAACAACAACUGAGCUAAAAAAAGAAUCGAAAGUGCGUUUUCAUUUAGGAACAGAGGAUGUUAAGAAUUUUAGAGAAGUAAUUACCUUAGAAUCAGCAGGCAUCCUCGUCCGAAGCAAACUGAGCUCAAACUCGACGCACCACUCAUAUAUCUUGGAUUCAAUUCACAACACAAGAGAACAAAAGAAAAGCAUAGACCUUUUGCUUUUGGAUAUCUUUACUAAUGUUAAAAGAAAAGGAAUUUAGACUUUCUAUUAUAUCGAAAACUCCUUAAGACCUUUGGAGCGUCACGGAGAAUUUAAGCGAGUGCGGUUGCGUAAGUAAACGCGGCUUACUUCAAAAAGCGGCAGAGGGAAAAUGUGGCUUUAUGGUAAUUUAUGAAUCGAAAGAUAUGGUAUACUUGUCAAUUACAUGUGUAAAAACGGCUCUAAUGAGAGAGAGAGAGAUGUACAAAAUCAUCAUCCCUCAAAAUCAAAUCUAUCAAAUGUCAAAUAAAAUCUAAUAAAAACGGACAGAGAGAGAAUAAAAAAGAUGCAACCUUUCUUCUUCUUUGAGUUGUCAGAUCACAUCAUCACUCUCUUUCUUCGUCAUCAUCGUCAAAACUCUCUGCAUAAAACUGUUUGCACUGGGGGUGUGAGAGUGCUGCUAGAGAGAGUUUAAAGAUGCAACCUUUUUGCUCAUCAUCAUAUCACUGUAGUCUCUUUUAAUUAUUUUUUGUUUUGUUUUAAUAACUGUCUGCAUAAACAAAACAGUCCUUAGUGUUGGUUUGGAAGAAAGAUGAUAACUUGGCAGCGAUCAGUGAUCGUUCUUUCGAGUAGGCUCGAAUCUGUUUUGGAGAAGAUAUACCGCAAACACAAAUGUCCUCCCAUAAACGAAGAGUCAAGGCAGAGACUUUCUUCGAUUCCAGAAGAUUUAGCUUUCGAUUUGCUCAGGAAAGCUUUUAAUUCUCCGGGGAUAUCCAACCUCGACCGCUUCAUCGCCUCUAAGCUUACCCACGCCGUUACUGUUACUAGCUCUCCGACGAAGUCUGCUCCUUGUUCCUCUCAAGGUCAGUAAUAGGAAAGCAGCAGAGAGUCUUUUUUAUGUGUAUAGUUUUACUUUGACUGUGACUGUUACUGAUUGCAGAAGAGAUAUCUAUUCAUUCUGAAGCUCCUUCUUUGAGAAGACAACAAGUCAAUGGAGGAUCUUCUCUUCACAUUCCUCCUCCUCAGCUCUUACUAGCUUUGAGUGAACUUGAAUUCAACAAGGCCUUUCUCUUGCUUACCUACAUUCCUGGGUAUGCCUCCAAAGUUUUCUGACUUUUUUAACCUCUUUUUUCCCUUGAGUUGGUUCUGGUAACAGUUACCCUUUUUUUUGUUUGAUGUUAAACAGGAAAGAUCUGAGUCAGGUUACAAUAACUGCUGAUGAGAUUAGAGGAUGGAAGGAUUUGUCUAUGGUUGCUUAUGAAGCUGCCGUUUGGGACAGUUUGGGACAUAAAUUUUGUUCCCCAACAGACCGUAGAUUGGUAUUUUUUUAUGUUUGCUCUAUUUGGUAUUUUACCUAUAUCUCAUGAUUGAUAUGAAUUCCUAAAGGUGAAUUAACAAGCAAGAGAGACAUAUUUUGUACUGUUUGGGUCUUUAUAUGCUUCCUCUGUUUCUGCAGUCACUGGAAUGUGAUAAUGAGAAGACUAGCUACUACCACUGUCAUGUUGCUUCGGAUGGCAGUUACACAUUCAAGGUUCAGUCCAGUCUUCAACUGCUAUCUUCCGUGUGUACUUUUGUGUUGAAGCAAUUAUUUUGCAAGUCGCUAUCUUAUGUCUAUUUUACAUCAUAGACUCGUUCUACUGGGUGUACUUAUAGAGAGAGACAUUGUACUUUUAGAGAUAUUGUGCUCAGAGUCACAGGGCUGCUAUUCCACAUUUCUUGGUAUCCUUGACUUGAUCUGCUUAUACUAAUGGAGACACUGUUUUCACAGGGCCCUCUUCUUGAACCCACUGGAACACACCUGCAUAAGGUCUUGGGUGAUGCUAAUGUUUUGACGGUCAAAUUUGAGGAUGUCCCGAGAAACUCAUCAACCGACCGUUACACUACAUACCGAAGGAUUGCCAAGAAUGGUAUCAUGCUUGGGUUACGUCGUUAUCAAUUUUUUGGUGGGUCUAUUUUCUCUUGAUUUACUUAUCAUUCAUGUCAACACUUUUUCACUAUUUUAACAUAUUAUUUAUUUGGAGCUUGUUAUUAUAACACUCUGUUGAACAGUUUUCAAAGAUGGUGGAAAAGAAGAAAAGAAGAAAGACUUUUCUACAAAGGGAGUGAAAUGCUACUUCAUACGCACAGACUCCACAUCUGCGAAUGAUAUGGGAAGUCCCUACAUCUUCUCCGGGAAGUCAGUUUAUGAAGCUCGCAUGCAUUUUAUGCAUGUCCACACAUUGCCAUCUUUGGCCAACUACAUGGCAAGGUACCUCAGUUUCUUUUAUAAGUCUCUACUGUUUUUAUCUUUGAGCUUCUGUAGACGUCACUGUGUGUUUUUGUUGAUGCUUCAGGUUUUCAUUGAUUCUAUCAAAGACUAAGAAGCUUGAAGUUGACAUGACUGGGAUCACCUUCGAGAAAAUCGAUGAUAUACACUGCCAUGUACUUUGUCGACUCCUUUGUCCUACAGGAACUGUGUCUCUAUCUAAAGUAGCUUAUACUAGUCGUGUUCAGUCUGUGCUUUAAUCUUUUUCCAUCUCUUCCAAUUGCAGGAUCAAAACAAUAAUGAUGUUCUUGAUAAGAAUGGGAAACCAUGUAUACAUUCAGAUGGCACUGGCUACAUCUCUGAAGAUCUUGCUCGGAUGUGUCCAGUAAACAUAUUAAAAGGAAAAUGUCUCAGAAAUGAUAAUGUUCAAACCCCUGUUCAAGACCCGGUAUGUAUACUAUAGUGAAAACCCCUCUUCAUGCUCCAUUAUAUACUUGUCCAUUACUGAACUCACAAUUACUUUUCCAAACAGCCUCUUCUGAUCCAGUUUCGGAUGUUUUUUGAUGGCUAUGCUGUUAAGGGAACUUUUCUCUUAAACAAGAAAGUAAGUCUGCUCUCUUUUUUUCCCAUUACAAAAUUUGUUUGCGAGCUAUUCCUUAUGUUCCGCCGUAUUUUGGCAGCUUCCUCCUCGGACUGUCCAGGUUCGACCUUCUAUGAUCAAGGUCUCUAAAGAUCCAGCUUUGUCAGAUUUUAGCACUUUUGAUUCCCUAGAGGUUGUCACAACAAGGUAUAUGUUUAUUUGAUACAUCUCUCUUUUAAUGUUAUCCUAGUGACAUCUAGUUGUUUCCAUCAUCCAGUAAUCCACCUAAAAGAACAAAGUUAUCAAAAAACUUGGUUGCGCUGCUUAGCUAUGGAGGAAUCCCUGAUGAAUUCUUUCUGGAUAUAUUGCUCAACACCCUGGAAGAGUACAAAACCAUCUUCAACAACAAACGUGCUGCUCUUAAAGGUUCGUAAUCCUUUAGUCCCUAGAAACUUAUGCUGUAACUAAUGAUUCAUCUUCUAAGAAGCCAUUUUAUUUGAUGCAGCUGCCCUUAACUAUGGGGAUAUGGACGAUCAGAACGCUGCACAAAUGAUUUUGGUUGGUAUCCCACUUGACGAACCACACUUGAAGGAUCAUUUGUCUAUUCUUUCAAACACAGAGAAGAAUGAUCUCAGAGCAGGAAAGCUUCCUGUGAGUGAUUCAUACUACCUCAUGGGUACUGUUGAUCCCACCGGAGAGUUGAAGGAAGAUGAAGUCUGUGUCAUCCUGUAUGAUUGCUAAUCACUUUUGAGUCUUUACAUGAUAAAGAAUAGAUGAAGUCUUGUUCAUUUCUGCACUACUUUCUU
rnacentral:lncRNA from 1 species